UGCGUAGUCGGUUAUUUAAGUCGGAUGUGAAAUCCCCGGGCUCAACCUGGGAAUUGCAUUCGAUACUGGAUAGCUAGAGUUCGGCAGAGGGAAGCGGAAUUUCGGGUGUAGCGGUGAAAUGCGUAGAUAUCCGAAGGAACAUCAGUGGCGAAAGCGGCUUCCUGGACCAGAACUGACGAUCAGGCACGAAAGCGUGGGGAGCAAACAGGAUUAGAUACCCUGGUAGUCCACGCCAUAAACGAUGACAACUAGACGUUGGGGACAUAUGGUCCACAGUGUCGCAGCUAACGCGUUAAGUUGUCCGCCUGGGGAGUACGGCCGCAAGGUUGAA
rnacentral:rRNA from 1 species